rnacentral:rRNA from 1 species
AUUGAACGCUGGCGGCAUGCCUUACACAUGCAAGUCGAACGGUAACGGGCCUUCGGGUGCCGACGAGUGGCGAACGGGUGAGUAAUGCAUCGGAACGUACCUUUCAGUGGGGGAUAACGUAGCGAAAGUUACGCUAAUACCGCAUAUUCUAUGCGCAGGAAAGCAGGGGAUCGCAAGACCUUGCGCUGAUUGAGCGGCCGAGGUCAGAUUAGCUAGUUGGUGAGGUAAAGGCUCACCAAGGCGACGAUCUGUAGCGGGUCUGAGAGGAUGAUCCGCCACACUGGAACUGAGACACGGUCCAGAGUCCUACGGGAGGCAGCAGUGGGGAAUUUUGGACAAUGGGGGCAACCCUGAUGGUGCAACGCCGCGUGGAGGAUGACGGUCUUCGGGUUGUAAAGCUCUUUCGGCCGGGAAGAAAUCGCACGGGCUAAUACCCUGUGUGGAUGACGGUACCGGAAUAAGAAGCACCGGCUAACUACGUGCCAGCCGCCGCAGUAACAC